UGGGUAACCUGCCCUAAACAACGGAAUAGCAAUGAGAAAUCAUUGGUAAUACCGUAUAAGCUUACAAUACCGCAUGGUGAUGUGAGAAAAGAUUUUAUCGGUUUAGGAGGGACCGCGUCUGAUUAGCUAGUUGGAGAGGUAAUGGCUCACCAAGGCGACGAUCAGUAGCCGACCUGAGAGGGUNACCGGCCACACUGGGACUGAGACACGGCCCAGACUCCUACGGGAGCAG
rnacentral:rRNA from 1 species